CAGCAGCCACGGUAAUACGAAGGGGGCUAGCGUUGCUCGGAAUCACUGGGCGUAAAGGGCGCGUAGGCGGCCAUUUAAGUCGGGGGUGAAAGCCUGUGGCUCAACCACAGAAUUGCCUUCGAUACUGGAUGGCUUGAGUUCGGUAGAGGUUGGUGGAACUGCGAGUGUAGAGGUGAAAUUCGUAGAUAUUCGCAAGAACACCGGUGGCGAAGGCGGCCAACUGGACCGACACUGACGCUGAGGCGCGAAAGCGUGGGGAGCAAACAGGAUUAGAUACCCGAGUAGUCCCUGUCUCUUAUAC
rnacentral:rRNA from 1 species